UACGGAGGGUGCAAGCGUUAUCCGGAUUCACUGGGUUUAAAGGGUGCGUAGGUGGCUAUAUAAGUCAGUGGUGAAAGCCCGCGGCUCAACCGUGGAAUUGCCAUUGAAACUGCAUAGCUUGAGUACAGUUGAAGUGGGCGGAAUACAUCAUGUAGCGGUGAAAUGCUUAGAUAUGAUGUAGAACACCGAUUGCGAAGGCAGCUCACUAAGCUGUAACUGACACUGAGGCACGAAAGCGUGGGGAGCAAACAGG
rnacentral:rRNA from 1 species